GACGAACGCUGGCGGCGUGCUUAACACAUGCAAGUCGAACGGAAAGGCCCUGCUUGCAGGGUACUCGAGUGGCGAACGGGUGAGUAACACGUGGGUGAUCUGCCCUGCACUUCGGGAUAAGCCUGGGAAACUGGGUCUAAUACCGGAUAGGAGCCAUUUUUAGUGUGAUGGUUGGAAAGUUUUUUCGGUGUAGGAUGAGCUCGCGGCCUAUCAGCUUGUUGGUGGGGUAAUGGCCUACCAAGGCGGCGACGGGUAGCCGGCCUGAGAGGGUGGACGGCCACCUUGGGACUGAGAUUCGGCCCAGUCUCCGACGGGAGGCAGCAGUGGGGAAUAUUGCACAAUGGGCGCCAGCCUGAUGCAGCGACGCCGCGUGGGGGAUGACGGCCUUCGGGUUGUAAACUCCUUUCGCUAGGAACGAAGCUUUUUGUGACGGUACCUAGAGAAGUAGCACCGGCUAACUACGUG
rnacentral:rRNA from 1 species